GACGAACGCUGGCGGCGUGCUUAACACAUGCAAGUCGAACGGAAAGGCCCUGCUUUUGUGGGGUGCUCGAGUGGCGAACGGGUGAGUAACACGUGAGUAACCUGCCCUUGACUUUGGGAUAACCCCAGGAAACUGGGGCUAAUACCGCAUAGGAGCUCCUGCUGCAUGGUGGGGGUUGGAAAGUUUCGGCGGUUGGGGAUGGACUCGCGGCUUAUCGGCUUGUUGGUGGGGUAGUGGCUGACCAAGGCUUUGACGGGUAGCCGGCCUGGGAGGGGGGACGGGCACAAGGGGGCUAAGGGACGGCCCAGACGGGAACGGGAGGCAAUAGGGGGGAGUAUUGCACAGCGGGGGGGAGCGUGACGCGAAGGCCCCGGGUUCGGGAAGACCGGCUUUGGGUGAUGAACAGCUGUGGCCGGAGACGAGGCGUUAAUGACGGUACUGGAUAAAGAAGCACCGGCUAACUACGUG
rnacentral:rRNA from 1 species